UGGCUCAGGACGAACGCUGGCGGCGUGCCUAACACAUGCAAGUCGAGCGGGGACAUGCGACGGAGUCGAAGUUUCGGAUGGAGACAAAGAUGUAUUGUCUAGCGGCGGACGGGUGAGUAACGCGUGAGCAACCUGUCCCUUACAGGGGGAUAACACAGCGAAAGUUGUACUAAUACCGCAUAAGACCACAGAGUGACAUCGCUCAGGGGUCAAAGGAGUAAUCCGGUAAGGGGUGGGCUCGCGUCCGAUUAGAUAGUUGGUGAGGUAACGGCCCACCAAGUCGACGAUCGGUAGCCGACCUGAGAGGGUGAUCGGCCACAUUGGGACUGAGACACGGCCCAAACUCCUACGGGAGGCAGCAGUGGGGAAUAUUGGGCAAUUGGGGGGAAACCCUGACCCAGCAACGCCGCGUGAGGGAAGAAGGUUUUCGGAUCGUAAACCUCUGUCCUUGGUGAAGAGGAAGAGACGGUAGCCAAGGAGGAAGCCCCGGCUAACUACGUGCCAGCCGCGGC
rnacentral:rRNA from 1 species